CCUACGGGAGGCAGCAGUGAGGAAUAUUGGUCACUGGGCGCGAGCCUGAACCAGCCAAGUAGCGUGAAGGAUGACUGCCCUACGGGUUGUAAACUUCUUUUAUAAAGGCAUCAAGUGAGGCACGUAUGCCUUUUUGUAUGUACUUUAUGCAUAAGAAUCGGCUCACUCCGUGCCAGCAGCCGCGGUAAUACGGAGGAUCCGAUCGUUAUCCGGAUUUAUUGGGUUUAAAGGGAGCGUAGACGGGUUGUUAAGUCAGUUGUGAAAGUUUGCGGCUCAACCGUAAAAUUGCAAUGGAUACUGGCAGCCGUGAGUACAGUUGAGGUAGGCGGAAUUCGUGGUGUAGCGGUGAAAUGCUUAGAUAUCACGAAGAACUCCGAUUGCGAAGGCAGCCUACUAAACUGCCACUGACAUUGAUGCUCGAAAGUGUGGGUAUCAAACAGGAUUAGAUACCCUGGUAGUC
rnacentral:rRNA from 1 species